GAGUUUGAUCCUGGCUCAGAGUGAACGCUGGCGGUAGGCCUAACACAUGCAAGUCGAACGGCAGCACAGUAAGAGCUUGCUCUUAUGGGUGGCGAGUGGCAGACGGGUGAGGAAUACAUCGGAAUCUACCUUUUCGUGGGGGAUAACGUAGGGAAACUUACGCUAAUACCGCAUACGACCUUCGGGUGAAAGCAGGGGACCUUCGGGCCUUGCGCGGAUAGAUGAGCCGAUGUCGGAUUACUAGUUGGCGGGGUAAAGGCCCACCAAGGCGACGAUCCGUAGCUGGUCUGAGAGGAUGAUCAGCCACACUGGAACUGAGACACGGUCCAGACUCCUACGGGAGGCAGCAGUGGGGAAUAUUGGACAAUGGGCGCAAGCCUGAUCCAGCCAUACCGCGUGGGUGAAGAAGGCCUUCGGGUUGUAAAGCCCUUUUGUUGGAAAGAAAAGCAAUCGAUUAAUACCCGGUGUUCUGACGGUACCC
rnacentral:rRNA from 1 species